rnacentral:sRNA from 1 species
AAAUCAAAUAAUUAAGGAAAAAAGAAUUAAUGCCAAUGGCAUGCCAUUGUAAAUAAGUGUCAAGUAGAGGAUUUAUUUGCUAAAAUA